AAACCAAACUUUUUAGAAAAGUAUGUUCUAAAAAAACGGCCUAUAGCAUUAUUUAAUUUCAAACUACCCUUAAGACCUUAAAUGAACCUCAAAGUUUGAAAAGGUAAACUGAUAAAAUUCCAUUUCCAGCAUUUUUUUAACAGCAUAAGGCGAGCCGAUAACGGUUUGUAAUUUUUUUCUGGAAAAGACAUACGUACAUACUUUAAAUAAAAAAGUUUGAGCUGAGACUUGAGUAAAUUUUUUCAAAAAAAAUCUCAAAAAUGUAAUUUUUUGAAAAAUCUCAAAGUGCGACCCCUUACACGGAUGAAAAAAUUUGAAAUUUGACUGAAUGUUAGCCGCUAGCAAGUAAAAUUAGGAGUAAAAAUUUGAAGUUGCAGACUUACGUCAUAUAUGAGUUACAGGCCCGAAAAAAUGGUAAAAAAUUAAUUUGGGCGUUUCGAGCAGGGUAAUUAAAAUUCAAGUAAACUAUCUAAUGAAAUAAAAUUAAUGUAUUUUCACCAGAUUUCACAACGAAUACAAAUUUAUACAGGGUGAGCCAAAGAAACGUGUCCUCGAUAUUUGGUAAUAUGUAGUUACCUAUUAGAUUUUAAGGAAAAACCGAAGUAGGUCCAUUUUUAUAUUGCAAUUUUUUGGCAUAUAUUUCAUGCUACGUGACGUCAUCCAUCAGAGCCGAUGACGUAAUCGAUUAUUUUUUAAAUGCGAAUAGGGGUCGUGUGGUAUCUCAUUUGAAGGCGUGUUCAAUUCUCUAUUUUUCGCUUAAAUUAAAUCACAAGUAGCCCUUAAAUCACAAGUGGCUCUUGACAGUUUGAACAUUUUUAAUGUAAGCAAAAAGCAAUGUUUAUUUGCCAAAAUAUUUAUUUUUCUAUAUUAUGGCAGCAUUAAAAUGUAUUUUGAGUUUAAUAAAUUACAUACAUUCAUCUUUUUGUGUCAAUUAAUUUAAUUCAAAAAUUAUGUUUUUGGCCACUCUGUAUAAAUAAUGAUUAUUGUUUAUAUUAUUGAACACUCUUUCAAAUGAGAUAACAUACGACCCUUAUUCCUAUGUUAAAAAAUUAUCGAUUACGUCAUCACGUCCAGAUGGAUGACUUCACUAGUAUGAAAUACAUAUAAAAAAUUGUAAUUUAAUAAUAAAAAUCAACCUGUUUCGGCAUUCCCUUAAAAUCCAAUAACUGCCAAAUAUCAAAUGGCAUCAAUUUUCCUUGGCCCACCCUGUAUAAAUUUGUAGUCAUUGUGAAAUCUGGUGAAAAUAGAUUAAUUUUUAUUGCAUUAGACAGUUUAUUUGAAUUUUAAUUACCCUUCCCGCAAACGCUCAAAUUUUGACCAUUUUGAUUUUUGACCAAUUUUUUCAGGCCUGUAACUCCUAUACUCCUAUAUGACGUAAGUCUGCAACUCCAAAUUGUUACUCUUUAUUCUACUUGCUGGGGGCUAACUCAGCCAAAUUUCAAAUUUUUUCAUCCGUGAUCAAAUUUUUGAGAUUUUUUUUGAAAAAAUUUAUCUGUCUCAAAGCUCAAACUUUUUUAUUUAAAGUAUGUACGUAUGUCUUUUCCAUAAAAAAAUUACAAACCAUUAUCGGCUUGCCUUACGCUGUUAAAAAAUGCUGAAAAUGGAAUUUUAUCAGUUUACCUUUUCAAACUUUGAGGUUUAUUUAAGGCCUUAAGGGUAGUUUGAAAUUAAAUAAUGCUUUAGGCCGUUUUUUAGAACAUACUUUUCUAAAAAGUUUGGUUUUUGAUUUAUUGUUCUAGGACAAACCUCAGUGAAAAUAUUGGCUAAAGAGCAAAGCCAUGUUUUCCGUGAAAAUGAUCGAUACGCUUUAACAAAAAUGGCCGUCAUCGCAAAAUAAUUUUUUUAAAAAUAAAGUGAGUGCAAUUUUGUACUCUCUAUAGACUGAAGGUCAAAAGGUAGAAAAAUAAAAAAUAUUAAAAAUGGUCAAGCAACCAACUUAAUUUAUAUUGGACCGCUUGACAUGGAUUGGCCCAUCAUAUAUAAGGUUUAGUCUUUAUUAAUUUCAGCGGAUUGUAUUGAUCUUCGCUUAUUGAUAUUCUCUCUUUAGUAGUUUCCUUAUUACCGAUUGUCGUGCUUUGCUACCAUAUGAGCAACUAUCUCUUUUCAUCGAAUCUGUCCGUCGGCGUCGGCUGCUCUCAUGGACUCAGAAAAUGUCUUGCCACUGGCUUUCUGAACGUGAUCUGUUCAUCGCGUAGGUGAGCGACUUUUGCCUCUGCAACCUUCGACAUUUCCUGAUACUAGAAGAUUUUCAUUAAUUCUUUAUAGAGAAAGUAAAGUCUGAAUGUGGAAUCUCUUGGAAGAUUGAGUGGUUUGUUCUGUGCUCUGGCCAUGGGAUCCGAAAGAUUCUCCUCCAGCAUCACAUCUCGAAGGUGUCAAUUCUUUUCCUAUCAUUUGAUUUCAUUGUCGGGCCCGUAACUGAGUAUAGGAAAAACUAAGGCACGUACCCAGCUCAUUUUGGUAUUCUUCGACAUCUUUCCAUAGUUUUGAUAAUCGACUCUCGCAUUUUUGGCCACCUGUGGUUGUUUGCAAUGACUUUGAAUAAUCGACUAUCAUAAUUUUUCUUUUUUGUUUAUUGAUCUUGAGACCACAUCUAUUCCUUUCGGUUUCCACUAUCUGCAGUAGACUGGACAUUUCUUCCUUUGCAAUUAUUUGACUUAUCGUAUCGUCUGCAUAUCCAAGGUUUGAGAUUUUUUUGACUGUGAUAGAGAUAUCGCCAUUCCAUUUGUUACGUGCUUUUCUCAUUACAUAUUCCCUAUAGAAGUUGAAGAGACUUUAAGAUAGAAUACAUCUCUGACGGACUCCCCUACAAGGGUGUGACUUACGGUUUUAAUUUUUUUCUUUUUUUCAUUAUUCUUGUAUAGGCUCUUCACCAGAGUUGACAGGUGAUCAGGAACUCCAAUAUCGUGUAGAAUGUUCCACAAAACUUUUCAGAAAGCAGAUGAUCAUAGGAAUUUUGAAUUCUCAAGCUUAAUAAAUGAUCUUGGUAAUUUUCUCUCUUGUGCCCUUACCCUUCAUGCAACCUGCUUAUUCUUGUGGUUUUUUUCUCUUUAAGUGUGCUACAUGCGGACAUUUAAUGAUUGACAAUAAAAUUUUAUUUUGGGUGUGAAAUUAGGGAGAUGGUUCGGUAGUUAAUACAUUUUGUAGUUGCAUUUUUCUUAUGAAUUGGAGUAAAUAGCACAGUACACUGUCACUUAACGAUUCUCUAUAUUGCUCAGUUUCUGCAUUAAUUGGAAACCAGAUUCACCGAGGUUUUAAAAAAGCUUGAUCGUGAUAAAUGAUCAAAACUAGGUGAUUUAUUGCUUUAGUGUGUUUUAUGGCUUCAUCAACUUAAUAUCUUAGGGUAUCUGGUUCUAGAUUUGUUGGCGCUAUUUCUAGUGCUGUGAUUUGAUUAACCUUUUCAGCACCUCUUUAAUAUUCCCAAGCAGCAACGUGAUGCCAGUAUAUAAAAUCUUCUAUAAUAUACAGAGUGUUUGGUAAAGAAUGGGCCAUACCAUAACCUUAGAUUCCUGAGGUUAAAAUAGGUCGAUUUAAGCUAACUUACCUUAGUACAAAAGUUGAUAAUACCCGAAAUACAGGGUGUCAAACUUAAACUUUUAUUUUAUUUAUUUUUGAAUAUUUUCUGACAGGCAUGGGACAACAACACGAAAUUUGGUAAGUGGUGCUGGCAUUGUACAAUCUACUAAAUGAUGUUAAACAAACGUUUCUGGCUACUACCAGAGGCGUACGACGGAGGAACGUGAAUGGUUGACCCUUCCCAAAUUCUACGCCACUGGCGGAAUUGCUAUUUUAGUGCAAUUUUUUGAUUCUCCAAUACUUUCUAUGUAAAAACAUACUGUUUAUUCGUAACGAUUAGGCCAUUAGUUUUCGAGAUAUUUGAAGCUAAAAACGAAGGAGCAUAAUACAUUAAAUCAAAAUAAGUGUGCGUUUUCAUUUUUGACUUCAAAUAUCUCGAAAACUAAUGACUUUAUCGUUACGAAUGGUCGAAGAGUAUAUUAUUUGCAUAGAAAGUAUUGGAAAAUCUAAAAAUCAUGCUAAAAUAGCAGUUUCAUCAGUGGCGUAGAAUUUGGAAAGGGUCAAGCAUUCAGUUUCCCCUGUCGUACGCCUCUGGUAUUAGCCAGAAACGAUUAUUUAACAUAAUUUAGUAGGGUGUAUAGUGCCUAAACUUUCUGCCAAGUAUCACACGGAUAUGUCAAAUUAUUUUAAAGUAUUAUUUUUUUAAAUAAUUUAUUCUUUAUUUAAAACUUUAAGAAUUAUGUGUGCCCGAUACUACAAAACAAUUUGACAUAUCCUUAUGGAACUUGGCAGAAAGUGUAGGUACUGUACACCCUACUAAAUUAUGUUAAAUAAUCGUUUGUGGUUAAUACCAGAGGCGUACGACAGGGGAAAGUGAAUGGUUGACCCUUCCCAAGUUCUACGCCACUGAUGAAACUGCUACUUUAGCAUAAUUUUUAGAUUCUUUAAUAUUUUCUAUGCAAAUAAUAUACUCUUCAUUCGUAACGAUAAAGUCAUUAGUUUUCGAGAUAUUUGAAGUUAAAAAUGAAAAGGCACAUUUAUUUAGAUUAAUGUAUUGUGCUCCUUCGUUUUUAGCUUCAAAUAUCUCGAAAAUUAUGGACUUAUCGUUACGAAUAAAGAGUAUGUUUUUUACAUAGAAAGUAUUGGAGAAUAAAAAAUUGCACUAAAAUAGCAAUUCCGCCAGUGGCGUAGAAUUUGGGAAGGGUCAACCAUUCACGUUCCCCCGUCGUACGCCUCUGGUAGUAGCCAGAAACGUUUGUUUAACAUAAUUUAGUAGGGUGUAUAGUACCAGCAUCACUUAGCAAAUUUCGUGUUGUUGUGCCAUGCCUGUGAGGAAAUAUUCAAAAAUAAAUAAAAUAAAAGUUUAACUUUGACACCCUGCAUUUCGGUUAUUAUCAACUUUUGUACUAAGGUAAGUUAGCUUAAAUCGACCUAUUUUAACCUCAGGAAUCUAAGGUUAAGCUAUGGCCCAUUCUUUACCAAACACCCUGCAUAAUAUACACAAAGCGCGCUUACGCAUCGACGGCACUAAUCUGUAGUCAUAUUUGGACUCGCUUAUGUGCCACCAUAGCUGAAAGGGCUCAUGAUAUGUUUCCCCUUUAUAGAAGUAAUUCUGUGCAGUACUUCUUUCAAGUCACCAGAACUGCGUCCAUAUCGCUUAUAAUAUUGCCUGUUUCAUCUUCUAGAGCAUAGUUUCUGGGUCUAAAUUCCCGAGCAAGCAGUUUCAGUUUUUGGAAUCUCUUGUUUAAUUUCGAUGUAUGGGGAUUUCUAUUUCCUGGCAGAUGUUAGAAACAUAUUCAUCUGCUAUCUUCGUUGAAUUUCUCUUGGCAAGGUUUAAUCAUUUAAAUCAUACCUGCUAAUUUUAAGCUGCUUUCUUUGUUCUAUAAUUUCCCAUGUUUGGUUACUUAUCCAUGGUUUACGACUACUGCUUCUUUCGGAUUUACUACAUUGAUUAGCUGGAUCUAAUAUAGUUCGUUUAAAAUCGCUCCUAAAAGUUUCAACAUCUUUGGGUACCAAUUAUCCCACUUAACACUGGGUUUAUUUUAUCUUUGAAAGUUACCAGUUGUGGGCUUGUUAUUGCUUCUAAAAUUUAUUCGAAACAUAGCUACCAGAAGUUAAAGGUCGCUUCCCCAACCUGCAUCUGGACAAGUUUUUGCGUUUGUACAUAUGAAGACUUCCACUUUGAAUCGAUCAUUAUAAAAUCUCUUUGAUUCUUUCGUCUGUCACACUUACGUCGUCUGCUGUUCAUGUUGAAACAUAUGUGUAAGAUGAAAAGUGAACCCCGACUUCGAAGAUGAUUGAUUCUAUCAUUAAUUGCAUCAUAUUCGCGCACACAGCUUUGCAGUCUUUAAGAAAUUGUUAUUGCGACGCCAUUCUUACUUUCAUUUUCAUUGCCAGAGAAAUAGAUAUUUCCGUAAAUGCUUCGGAAGUGUCUUGUCUCCCUCUAGUGAGUUUCACCUAUACCAAGAAUGGAAACGCCAUGAUCUUGUAUUUCUAGGGAUUAUGCUUAUUUCGCACCUGCAACCUGGGGAAAAUUCACUCAUCCCAGAUACCUACGGUAUCAAAAGGAUUGAGCUCUGGUGGGACCCUUUCCGCCUCCCAAAAAUUUUCGUACACAUCUGGCCGUCGAGAGUAGUACAACUUUCUGCAUGGUCUUAUACAUAUGUUCAUUCAGACCCAGUUUUUAUGUUUUCUAGGAGGUUCUUCGGAAUGACUCCAAUAGUAGAGACUAUAAUAGAUAUUGUCUGGGUACUUGGCAUUCUCCACCGUCUUGGUAUUUGAAUUUUCCGAUCUCUGUAUUUGCCGAUCUUUUCAGUGCAUUUAGAACGCAGGUAAUUAUUGGUAGGUAUCGCCACAUCAAUGAAGGUUGUUUGUCUUGUUAAUUUAUUAACUAAUAGGAGAUCUGGUCUAUUAUGUGCCCCAGUUUGGUCUGUGAGCACAGUGCGGUCCCAGUAUAGCUUGUAGUUGUCAUUCUCAAGCACACUCUCCGGAAUGUAUUGAUAGUAUGGUAGAUGGUUUCUUUGGAGAAGUUAGAGUUUGAUGGCCAUCUCUUGAUGCAUGAUCUUUCCUACAAGUCAUGCCGCUCCUUACACUCAGUUGCAGCAAGUGCCUGGCAUCCCCUGUAAGAUGUUGAAUGGUUUCUUGGGCUUGACAUCCAUAUCGGGAUUUAUCGUUUUGGACCUGAGGGUCUUUGACGAUAUAUUUCAGGUAAUUUUUAGUUGGUAUGACCUGAUCCUGAAUGGCGAGUAAUGAACCUUCCGUUUCAGGGAACAUCUUUCCUGAUGUCAACCAAUAGUUGGCUGACCUCAUCGAGAUGUCGCCCGUGCAGAGUUUCAUCCAUGGGCGUAUUUUUUCUUCCUUUAUGAGGUGGUUUAUGCGCAUUUCUGGUUACCUCAGUUUGAUCGGUGUUGUGUCGUCUACUGCGCAAAUAGCCCGAUGUAGAGUAUACGUCUCAGCCUCCAUCUGAAAAUAUAUAUAAGCAGUGGGGUUCCUACGGUCUCCUCCGCAUCCCACAUUUCGCUCGCCAUCGUUUUCGAUCCACCCACUCGUUCUCUUCUAUAACUCUAUCUUCCAUAUACUGUUCUAUGCCUUUCUUCCAUGUUUUGUAGGCCUUCCUCUUCUUCUUCUAUUUAUAUGCGUGUAAUUUAAUGCUCUUUUUGGCCAUCUUUCCUCUGGCAUUCUCAUAACAUGACCAUACCAUAGCAAUUUCUUUGUUUCUAUUCGGUCAACCGUGGAAUAUACACUCUUUGAUCUACUUCUGAAAUUAGCAAUCUGUUUAUCUAAUUGCUCACUUAUAUCCAUAAGUCCUCUUCCACCAAAAUUCCGUGGUAAUGUCAUUCUUUCUACUGCACUUUGAGGAUGUUGUUUUCGUGCCUUUGUAAGGUGUGUUCUUACUUUUCGCUUAAGAUUUUCUAUAUUGGUUUUUGUCCACUUAACAAUGCCAAAUAAAUUGCUAAGCGCGGAACAUGCGUAGGUGUUUAAUGCCUUAAAAAAAUUCUACUGUUAAGGUGUGAACGAAGAAGCUGUUUUACCCUUCGUAUAAACUCCGUAAUUAUCUCAGUUUUCAUUUGCUCAUGGUCAAUUUUUUGCGCUUGCUUUACUCCGAGAUAUUUAUACAUAUCGUUUUCACCCAUGGCCUCGAUGUUCUGGCCAUUUUACAUAUCGAAUCCUCCGGGCUAUACCUUUCCUCUGAGCUAUUUUAAAAUACGGCACUUGUUUUAGAAGUUUUUUUUUGCAUGUGACCUAGUUGAUUUCGAGUGGAAGCCAUUCGUUUCAAAUCGUCCAUAUACAACAGAUGAUUUAGCUUCGCCACCACAGUGUUGUUAUUUUUUAUGCUAAAACCUGAGUCAGUGAAAUUCAAUAGCUGAGAUAGUGGGUUCAUAGCUAGGACAGAGCCACAGUUGACUCAACGAAUCUCCUUGGAACAGGCCCCGGUUGAUUCCGAUAUUUUCAGUUUCGAUGUUAAUUUCACCAGGUACUUGAAGGUGAUUUAGUCUUCCACUGUCAUUAUAUGCUUUAUAAAAGUCACUAUAUUAUCAUCGACUAUUUAUAUUCGCAAUAUAUCUAUAAGCGAUUUAUGCGGCACUGAAUAAAAGGCCUUCUUGUAAUCAAUGAAGGCAGUAAAAAGGUUCCUUUUUUGGAAUAUGCCUGGUUAAUAAUGACCGAGUCGAUGGUUAGUUGUUCUUUCCAAUCCAUGGAACCCUUAGCAUAGUGUUGAUAGAUACGCCGUGCUACACAGGAUGUGAUCAUUUAUACAAAGUUGCGAGACAAGUAAUUGGGCGGUAUUUGGUUGGAUCUUGGGUGUUAUUUUGAUCCUUCGGUAUUAAAUAAGUGGUUCCCUGAGUUAGGAACGAUGGUAUUUCCUGCGGAUUAGAAAUAACAUGAUUAAUUAGUGUUGAUAAGCACUUAUGAAUGCUCCAGAAGUUAUGAACUGCGUGUGGUCCAAAAGAUUUCACUAUUUAUUAAUAUUAGUAAAUAUUAUGUCCUAUACGUACGUAUGCAUAUAUUAUAUACCCUUCAGUAUUAUGUCCUAUAAAAUACAAGAAUCUUACAAACCGGAAGUAAAAACCAGUCUGAUAAUCACUGUUUUACAUUCGAUUUACUCAUCUGGAGAUGUUCAUCAGCAUCACAUAUUACACUUGGCGUGGGUCAUUCUUGCCAACUUAGCACUUGUUUAGGUUUUUAAUUUUUUUUCCUAUCUACAUUUAAACAUAAUUUUGCAUAUUUCUCUUUACAUGUCCUCUAAAUGCUAAGUAUACAGGGUGAGGCAAAUAAAGGGCCUAUUAGAAAUAUCUCGAGAACUAAAGGCAACAGAAUCAUGAAAAUUGGAAUAAAGGGGUUUUGAAGGAUGAUCUAUUAAAUGAAAAUAUUUUCAUCUCUUUGCAACUUCCGGUUAUGCCGGAAGUUGCUUAUAACUUCGUUUUUUUAAAUGGGACACCCUGUAUAUUUUUACAUUUUUGGAUUCUCUUCGAUGUCUUCUUUCUUAAAAUAUGAGGUUUUGUAAUAUUAUACAGGGUAUUUUAAAAGAUAAUUACGUUUUUUUAUUAAUUUCGUAGCAACACCCUGUAGAAUUGUAGUAGUUUGACAUCUAAAACUCUACUUACGUUCAAAUUAUUUUUAAUAUACUCUACUAUUGUUAAGAAUCAUUAGUAUAGCUAAAUUUUUAAGUUUAGUAUACAGGGUUGGUCGAAACUCGGAAUGAGUAUUUUCUGAGUUUUCUUAAAUGGAACACCCUGUAUUUUAGUAUUGUAAUGAAAUGAUAUUUUAUGGUACUUUUUUAUUUCUUAAGCAUUCCCUAUACCUAACUGCUUUAAUUUGUGCUUAAUUGUUAAUCGCACCAACAAUCUUAACUAAGUAGGUAUUUCGAUAGCUAAACCAUUAUUGGUAAUUUUAAGGACCAGUCUGGAUUAAUAUGUAUUUAUUUCUGAAAAAUUAUUUGGGAUUGAGUAUUUUCACGGCCAACCUAAUAAAAUUUUACGUAUUUUUUGUUGCAAUUAAUGUUUAGCUUGAAUCACCAAUAACUCACAAAUUAAAGCAGUUAGGUAUAGGGAAUGCUUAAGAAACAAAAAAGUACUAUAAAAUAUCACUUCGUUACAAUACAAAAAUACAGGGUGUUCCAUUUAAGUAAACUCAGAAAAUACUCAUUCAGAGUUUCGACCAACCCUGCAUACUAAAAUGAAACAUUUUGCUAUAUUAUUAAUUAUUAAUAAUAAUAGACUAUAUUAAAAUCACUUGAACAUAAAUGGAGUUUUUGAUAUCAAAUCAGUACAAUUCUACAGGGUGUGAAGUUUGCUACAAAAUUUAUAAAAAACCGUAAUUAUCUUUUAAACUACCCUGUAUAAUAUUACAAAACCUCACAUUUUAAGAAAGAAGACAUCGAGCAGAAUCCAAAAAUGUAAAAAUAUACAAGGUGUCCCAUUAAAAAAAAACGAAGUUACAAUAAACUUCCGGUAUAACCGGAAGUAGCAAAGAGACCAAAAUAUUUUCAUUAAAUAGUUCAUACCUCAAAACCCCUGUAGUCCAAUGUUCAUGAUUUUCGUACCUUUAGUUCCCGAGAUAUUUCUAAUAGGCCCUUUAUAUGUCUCACCCUAUAUAAAAGGCACUAAAAUCAUGUAUAUAAGAUCAUACCAAAGUUCACUGUUACGGAAGUAUUAAUUUUUAUAAUAAAAAAACUUGAUACUUUAGCUAAAUUUAAAUGAAACCACUAUAGAGACCAGUACUACUUUUUUGUGAAUUGUUAAUUUUAUGAAUGUAUUUAUGUUGAACCAAUAUAUAUUUAGUUGUAUUUUAUUUAUAUUUUAUCGAUUGUGUCAUAUUUCUAAGUGUGCAAUAUUUUGAAGUUUUAAUAAAUACAAAAAAAAUUUAGAAA
rnacentral:lncRNA from 1 species